GUCCCAAGUUACCCCAAGGACGCCGGUGGGCAUUCGCUCCCUCCUCACCCAGCUGUCAGGGCGCCGCGAAGCCGGUGCGAAGCUGCGGAGGACGUUUUCAACGUGCCAGAGGGAGCGCAAACUCCAUGGAGAUUCCUAGCGCAGAAGGAAUUCCUGCGGUCGGGAAUUUCUUGAAAAAGAUUCUUCGCAGGGGCCCUGAGCCGAUAAUGCUGAAAUUAACAUCUUUGGAUAUACAAUUCUCUGCUUCUGAAGAAUGAAAAGAUAAAUAACAGAGCUAAGAAAGGGACUGAUGAAACUUACAACAGCAGGUCUCAAAUUUUUGGUCUCAGGACCCCUUUAUGCUCUUAAAAAUGAUUGACAGCCUCCAAGAGCUUUUGUUCAUGCUUUGGUAAGGCUGUGAGAGCACAGAGCUGAAUUAGGGAUCUUGGACUUCAAGUUACUGACUAGCCCCAGCACUCGCCAAGCUCACAAAGAAGACAGAAACGAGGUAAACAUCCAACCAUGUUUAUGGAAGAGUUCAUCUCUCUGUCAGCAUUACGU
ensembl:lncRNA VASH1-DT VASH1 divergent transcript